UACGUAGGGUGCAAGCGUUGCCCGGAUUUAUUGGGCGUAAAGGGCGCGUAGGCGGCUCUGCACGUUCGUUGUGAAAUCGCCCGGCUCAACUGGGCGGGGUCAGCGGAUACGGCAGAGCUUGAGCAAGCUAGGGGGCAAUGGAAUUCCCGGUGUAGUGGUGAAAUUCGUAGAUAUUCGGAAGAACACCAGUGGCGAAGGCGGCUCACUGGCCCGAUUCUGACGCUGAGGCGCGAAAGCGUGGGGAGCAAACAGG
rnacentral:rRNA from 1 species